rnacentral:rRNA from 1 species
GACGAACCGUGCGAACGUUGUUCGGAAUCACUGGGCUUAAAGGGCGCGUAGGCGGGCCAGCAAGUCAGGGGUGAAAUCCCACGGCUCAACCGUGGAAGGGCCUUUGAUACAGCACGUCUCGAGUCCGGAAGAGGUGGGUGGAAUUCCUAGUGUAGAGGUGAAAUUCGUAGAUAUUAGGAAGAACACCGGUGGCGAAGGCGGCCCACUGGUCCGGUACUGACGCUGAGGUGCGAAAGCGUGGGGAGCAAACAGG